CUGUAAAUGAAAGUCCUGCAGUGAAGAGAAUUCAAAUAGCUAGCUGCAUGUAAAAGUUUCACUGGCCUAGGGGCCAUUAGUUAGAUGCUGCUGAGUUUCUGCGUGCAUGGUCCUGCCAGUUAUUAGUACUGUAUGCUUGGUGGCUGUUUGGAGGGGGAAGAGAAAAUAUCUGUAUGGUACGGUGCCAUGUUAAGUAUAACUGGAGGCACCUUUCCACUGAAAGCACUGAUAAAGCAACAGACUUCAUAAUCUGAAGGAAAGGGCAAUUUAUCACUACCAGGAGGUGGCAGCAGAGAGCCUGUUUCCCGGAGGCACCUUUGGAGUCUGCUGAAAUUUGUUGAACUUGUCUCAGAAAAUAUCGGCUGAUUUCACCAGGGAAGGAAGGGCUGUUCACACUAUUGGCUCAGUGAGAUCGCAAAGUUCUCUCUAGAGCAAAUCUUUUGUCAUCAAAGCACCUUCGAACAUCCUAAUUGUGACUUCACAGAGAGGUUUGUGCAAUUUUUUUGAACUCUAUGAAGAUCCUGAGUCUGACGUAGAUAAUUUAGUGUAUAGCAACACCAGAAAUUGGAGGAACAACACCUCAUAUUCCGCCUGAGUAGCCUACGUCCGUCAGGCAUGAACAUUGAAAUCUCCCAAUUUUGGUAGCCCUUGCUGUCUC